rnacentral:lncRNA from 1 species
UCCUCACUCCCUGAGCCGGGGCGGUGCCUGACGCAGGCGCCCGCUGUGCCAUAGAGGGGCCCCCACGUCGAGUCUGAGCGCGCUGUCACCCGGAGGGCGUCCAUCGUCCAGGUCGUCAGCUUCCACUCGCCGGUCUACACAUUCUUCUUCAAGAGCAGGUUCGGCGACUACCCCGGCAACUGCCACACCUUGCUCGGGGUCCGCAAUGAGGAGGUGAGCGCGGAGAGCCGGCGGUGCCCCUCCCCGGACCCCACUCAGACAGCCGUCCACAGAAGCUCACAAUCCGCCUGUCCCCGCUGGCACCCGAUUCGCACCCGAACCCAGCCCCAGUCGCUGGCAUGGGCCAUGAGCCGCCGUCGCUGCCACAAGCUCGGAGGAGGGAGAACAGCAACUUUCCAUGGGUCAGAGCUGUAACCAGUCUGACAGCUGCCUGCAAAGGGGCUGUCCCUAGGGACCCUCUCCAGGUUCACACUGUCGGGGAGACAGCGCAGAUGGGCUGA